rnacentral:rRNA from 1 species
AGAGUUUGAUCCUGGCUCAGGAUGAACGCUGACAGAAUGCUUAACACAUGCAAGUCUACUUGAAUUUGGGUUUUUAACUUAGGUUUGGGUGGCGGACGGGUGAGUAACGCGUAAAGAACUUGCCUCACAGCUAGGGACAACAUUUAGAAAUGAAUGCUAAUACCUAAUAUUAUGAUAAUAGGGCAUCCUAUAAUUAUGAAAGCUAUAUGCGCUGUGAGAGAGCUUUGCGUCCCAUUAGCUAGUUGGAGAGGUAACGGCUCACCAAGGCGAUGAUGGGUAGCCGGCCUGAGAGGGUGAUCGGCCACAAGGGGACUGAGACACGGCCCUUACUCCUACGGGAGGCAGCAGUGGGGAAUAUUGGACAAUGGACCGAGAGUCUGAUCCAGCAAUUCUGUGUGCACGAUGAAGUUUUUCGGAAUGUAAAGUGCUUUCAGUUGGGAAGAAAGAAAUGACGGUACCAACAGAAGAAGUGACGGCUAAAUACGUGCCAGCAGCCGCGGUAAUACGUAUGUCACGAGCGUUAUCCGGAUUUAUUGGGCGUAAAGCGCGUCUAGGUGGUUAUGUAAGUCUGAUGUGAAAAUGCAGGGCUCAACUCUGUAUUGCGUUGGAAACUGUAUAACUAGAGUACUGGAGAGGUAAGCGGAACUACAAGUGUAGAGGUGAAAUUCGUAGAUAUUUGUAGGAAUGCCGAUGGGGAAGCCAGCUUACUGGACAGAUACUGACGCUGAAGCGCGAAAGCGUGGGUAGCAAACAGGAUUAGAUACCCUGGUAGUCCACGCCGUAAACGAUGAGUGCUAAGU